UUAUUGGGCGUAAAGCGAGCGCAGACGGUUUAUUAAGUCUGAUGUGAAAUCCCGAGGCCCAACCUCGGAACUGCAUUGGAAACUGAUUUACUUGAGUGCGAUAGAGGCAAGUGGAACUCCAUGUGUAGCGGUGAAAUGCGUAGAUAUGUGGAAGAACACCAGUGGCGAAAGCGGCUUGCUAGAUCGUAACUGACGUUGAGGCUCGAAAGUAUGGGUAGCAAACGGGAUUAGAUACCCCGGUAGUUCAUACCGUAAACGAUGGGUGCUAGUUGUUAAGAGGUUUCCGCCUCCUAGUGACGUAGCAAACGCAUUAAGCACCCCGCCUGAGGAGUACGGCCGCAAGGCUAAAACUUAAAGGAAUUGACGGGGACCCGCACAAGCGGUGGAGCAUGUGGUUUAAUUCGAAGAUACGCGAAAAACCUUACCAGGUCUUGACAUACCAAUGAUCGCUUUUGUAAUGAAAGCUUUUCUUCGGAACAUUGGAUACAGGUGGUGCAUGGUCGUCGUCAGCUCGUGUCGUGAGAUGUUGGGUUAAGUCCCGCAACGAGCGCAACCCUU
rnacentral:rRNA from 1 species